ACUCAAAUGAAUAGACGGGGGCCCGCACAAGCGGUGGAGCAUGUGGUUCAAUUCGACGCAACGCGAAGAACCUUACCUGGGCUCGAACGGCUUAAGAACAAUCGUAGAAAUAUGGUCUUCCCGCAAGGGACUUGAGUCGAGGUGCUGCAUGGCUGUCGUCAGCUCGUGUCGUGAGAUGUUGGGUUAAGUCCCGCAACGAGCGCAACCCUUGUCCUGUGUUGCCACCCUCGCAAGAGGAGCACUCUCAGGAGACCGCCAGCGAUAAGUUGGAGGAAGGUGGGGAUGAUGUCAAGUCAUCAUGGCCUUUAUGUCCAGGGCUACACACGUGCUACAAUGGACGGUACAAAGCGCUGCAAACCCGCGAGGGGGAGCCAAUCGCAAAAAACCGUUCUCAGUUCGGAUCGCAGGCUGCAACUCGCCUGCGUGAAGCUGGAAUCGCUAGUAAUGCCGUAUCAGAACGAUGGCGUGAAUACGUUCCCGGGCCUUGUACACACCGCCCGU
rnacentral:rRNA from 1 species